GUCAAGAAUCUUCCUCAAUGGCCGAAAGGCUGAAGGAGCGACGCCGCGUGCAAGAUGAAGCCCUUCGGGGUGUAAAUUGCUUUUCUCUGUGACGAAUCCAUGACUGUAACAGAGGAAUAAGGAGCCGCUAACCUCGUGCCAGCAGCGGCGGUAAUACGAGGGCUCCAAGCGUUAUCCGGAUUUAUUGGGCGUAAAGGGUCCGUAGGUGGCCUGGCGCAUCUCCUGUUAAAUCCCGGGGCUCAACCCCGGGACCGCAGGAGAGAUGGUCGGGCUAGAGGUCGGGAGAGGCGAGCGGAAUUGCCGGUGUAGGGGUUAAAUCCGUUAAUAUCGGCAAGAACACCAAAUGCGAAAGCAGCUCGCUGGAACGAAUCUGACACUGAGGGACGAAAGCGCGAGUAGCGAAUGGGAUUAGAAACCCUAGUAGUCC
rnacentral:rRNA from 1 species